rnacentral:rRNA from 1 species
AUUGCUUUGUGACUGAGUGGCGGACGGGUGAGUAACGCGUGGGUAACCUGCCUCAUACAGGGGGAUAACAGCUGGAAACGGCUGCUAAUACCGCAUAAGCGCACAGGACCGCAUGGUCCGGUGUGAAAAACUCCGGUGGUAUAGGAUGGACCCGCGUUGGAUUAGCCAGUUGGCAGGGUAACGGCCUACCAAAGCGACGAUCCAUAGCCGGCCUGAGAGGGUGAACGGCCACAUUGGGACUGAGACACGGCCCAGACUCCUACGGGAGGCAGCAGUGGGGAAUAUUGCACAAUGGGGGAAACCCUGAUGCAGCGACGCCGCGUGAAGGAAGAAGUAUCUCGGUAUGUAAACUUCUAUCAGCAGGGAAGAUAGUGACGGUACCUGACUAAGAAGCCCCGGCUAACUACGUGCCAGCAGCCGCGGUAAUACGUAGGGGGCAAGCGUUAUCCGGAUUUACUGGGUGUAAAGGGAGCGUAGACGGAUUAGCAAGUCUGAUGUGAAAGGCAGGGGCUCAACCCCUGGACUGCAUUGGAAACUGCCAGUCUUGAGUGCCGGAGAGGUAAGCGGAAUUCCUAGUGUAGCGGUGAAAUGCGUAGAUAUUAGGAGGAACACCAGUGGCGAAGGCGGCUUACUGGACGGCA